rnacentral:lncRNA from 1 species
UCGACGGAGACCGCCCCCUCUCUCCUCAACAUCUCUCUCUCCCUUCUGACCCUCCCUCAUCUCUCGCCUUCCUCCAGAUCCAGCGCCCCCUCCAGCCACCCCUGCCGCCGCCGCCCGCCGUGGCGCAGGCGGCGCCGUCGAGCCGGUUCUCCCCUUCGGCUCGGCAGCACCCACUCACCCCAAAAUUUCCAUCUCACUCUACCUCAAAUUCUGAUUUCUUUUCAGUUGCAAUGAAAAUAGAAAAGAUUAUUCAUUUAGGGCUCUUAGAUUAGUUAAAUUGUUGAUGAUGGCAUUUGAUGUUUAUGCGUGACUCAAAAUGUUGGGUAUUUGGAUUUAAGAAGAAUGAUUGUGAAAUGAAUGAAUGAUAGAAUUGUAUAUUGAAAACAAAGUGUAAGAAUUUUGCAGAAUUAAAUCAAUUACCAGUUGAAGAUCUCUGUAGAGGAAUAUAGAGGGAUGAGAAGUCUGCUGAAGCAAGGCUUGUUUUUGGUGAAAUUUUUAGAAAGAUGGGAUUUGAUCAGCUGAUGGGUGGGUGAGUUUAAAUAGAGUGUGUUGAUGAUAGGAUUUUUUUUUUGUUUGUUUCUUAGAUAAAUUAGGUAAUUAAUAAAAAAUUUAAAUUUUUUAUGAUGGUGAAAUUUAGAACUAGGUAGUGUGCGUGUGUUGGCCAAGCGAUAAAGGGUUAAUGCCUAAGGCCAAAAGUUUUUUAUUCGAGUCUUCGAUCCUAUAGCACGAUCUUUAAAAUUCUUU